rnacentral:rRNA from 1 species
ACAGUCACACAUUAGAUACCCGUGUAGUCCUGGCCGUAAACGAUGUGGACUUGGUGUUGGAAUGGCUCCGAGCUGUUCUAGUGCCGCAGGGAAGCUGUUAAGUCUGCCGCCUGGGGAGUACGAUCGCAAGAUUGAAACUUAAAGGAAUUGGCGGGGGAGCACCACAACGGGUGGAGCCUGCGGUUUAAUUGGACUCAACGCCGGGAAGCUCACCGGAUAAGACAGCGGAAUGAUUGCCGGGCUGAAGACCCUGCAUGACCAGCUG